UCGGAAGGCAGCAGUGGGGAAUAUUGCACAAUGGGCGCAAGCCUGAUGCAGCCAUGCCGCGUGUAUGAAAAAGGCCUUCGGGUUGUAAAGUACUUUCAGUCGUGAGGAAGGUGUUAAGGUUAAUAACCUUAGCAAUUGACGUUAGCGACAGAAGAAGCACCGGCUAACUCCGUGCCAGCAGCCGCGGUAAUACGGAGGGUGCGAGCGUUAAUCGGAAUUACUGGGCGUAAAGGGCACGCAGGCGGUUAAUUAAGUUGGAUGUGAAAUCCCCGGGCUUAACCUGGGAAUGGCAUUCAAGACUGGUUAGCUAGAGUCUUGUAGAGGGGGUAGAAUUCCAUGUGUAGCGGUGAAAUGCGUAGAGAUGUGGAGGAAUACCGGUGGCGAAGGCGGCCCCUGGACAAAGACUGACGCUCAUGUGCGAAAGCGUGGGGAGCAAACAGGGAUUAGAUACC
rnacentral:rRNA from 1 species